AAUGAACGUUGGCGGCGUGGAUUAGGCAUGCAAGUCGUACGGGUCGGUGUAGCAAUACAACGGCAAGUGGCGAAAGGGAGAGUAACACGUAGAUACCUACCCUCUGGUCGGGGAUACCGCGGCAUAACCGCAAGUAAUACCCGAUAAAAUCUCCGGAUCAAAGGUGUGAUUCCGCCGGAGGAGGGGUCUGCGUUCUAUCAGCUUGUUGGUGAGGUAAUGGCUCACCAAGGCUAAGACGGAUACGGGGUGUGAGAGCAUGCCCCCGCUCACUGGGACUGAGACCCUGCCCCGACACCUACGGGUGGCUGCAGUCGAGAAUCUUCGGCAAUGGGCGCAAGCCUGACCGAGCGACGCCGCGUGCGGGAUGAAGGCCUUCGGGUUGUAAACCGCUGUCGAGGGGAAUGAAGUGUAGGUGGGUACUCUCAUCUAUUUGACAGAUCCCUGGAGGAAGCAUGGGCUAAGUUCGUGCCAGCCGCCGCGGUAACAC
rnacentral:rRNA from 1 species